AAGGCAACGCAGCGAGGCUUCCAUCCGCUCGAUCCACACCUCCCUCGUCCUCCCUCUCACCGGGGUUCUAGCGGCGGCACGGCCGGCGGCGCGCAGCCUCGUCGGGACGAGCUCCGGGCGGCGCUGGGAGGAGCUCGGCCGGCGGCAGCGUCGUCCUCCCUCUCCGCGCAGAUCCGGCGGCGGCGUGCCUCCCUCUCGGCGCGGAUCCGCCGGCGGCGUGGCCGAGGUGGACCUCAGGCGGCGGCCCGGCCUCGCCGCGGGGAGGUGGCGUGGCUCCCUCUCGGCGCGAAUCCGGCGGCGGCACGUCCGAGGCGGGCCUCGACCGGCGCGCAGCCUCGCGGGAGGAGCUCGGGGCGGCGCUGGGGGGAGCUCGAUCGGCGGCACCGUCGUCCUCCCUCUCCGCGCGGGUCCAGCGGUGGCAUGACUCCCAUGUGAAUCUCCUCGAGUCUUACGUUCUGGCCGCCUUUCCUGCACAACCGUCUUGUACACUGUAAAGCAACUCGUCAUUCUCUCUCCCACCCACCUCCUCACCUUCUCGGCUUUUCCUCCCACCCAUCCGACCAGCCUCUCUCAUCUCCCCUCUCUCUCGCCGCGGAUCGUGCGGCGGAGGCGGCGGCCGCGAGCGGACGAAACGCGGCCUCGCCGGGAGGAGCUCGGGACGGCGGCAAUGCGGCCGAGGUGGGGGGAGGUCACGACGGCCGCGGAGCGGCCGAGGCGGGGGGAGCUCGGGGUAGCAGCGCGGCCUCGCCGGGAGGAGCUCGUGUUGCUAUUGUGUUCUUUCAUGUGCUCUUUCUUUGGUUAGAAUCUGCUGCUUUGGAUCUGGUUGUUUGGCUUUCUUCCUCUCCUGUGAUAUUGCUCUUUCAAUCCACUGUAUUUUUUAGUAUGGAUCUUGCAGGUUGACACUGUCGCUGUAUGCAUUGUGGAGAACGAGGUAUGUUUAGGUGCGGUAAUAUACCUCCAGAUUCAGGUUGCUUUCCAUUGUAUUUUGUGUGUUUAUCUAUGUUUAUGGGUAGAUCAGGAUAAUUAUUUUAGUUCAGGUAGGAACUGUUGUGGUCAAUCAGUCUCUUUUUUGGUGAUUCAAGAUAUAGAUACUUUUUGGUUGGUUGCUGCAAACUUUUGUUUUCCUUUAUUUUUUCGUUUUUAUGCAUAUUUAUAGUGCAGUUAUUUCAAUGGUCAUUUGACAUGGGAUUACCUUUUGUGUGUGCUUUCAGCUGGUGUACGUCAUAUUUGGCAAGGGAAUUCUUUCACCGCUUGGGAGAAAAGAUGGGUGACUAAGGUGAUGCUUAUUGUUGCUGAACAUGAUGAUAAACUUGUUGCUGGGGCACUUAACCGUAUUGGAGGUGACACGCUGUUUGUCGCUUAUGGGGAUGUCUGCCAGAUGCUUAUUUCCCCAACUUGCAUUUUGAAGCUUGCUAUUAUCAGGCAAUUCAAGCAACUAUGGAAUUGAACCUGAGUGAGGUCGACGCAGGUGCUCAAGGAGAGCACAAGAUCCAGCAUAGUUACCUCCCAGUGACAACAUACAGCUGCCGCUACUUCUUAAAUCCUGGUUUUGGGAUAGCUAUAGGACACUAUCUUGCACAUGAGACAGCUCAGAAUAUAUUUGACCAGAUGGAGCGCUUUAUUGCUAGAAGAUCACUUUCUUUAAGACCUGUUCUCCUGCAACAUCCGCUCACCGUCAGCACCAGCUUCGCCCCUCGCUGCCCUUCGCUGUCGUCGUCCUCGUCUUCUACGGUACCACCGUCGCCUAUGCGCUGACGUAUGGAUGAAUGUGAGGCUCAAAUUGCUGCCAACCUUGAGAUCAUGGAGCCCUGCUCCAGUGUCAAGGAUAGCAUGAUUACUGAUACAGAAGAGAAGGGUCUCAUCACUUGAGGGAAGGUGAGACUGAAAGCAUGAAUCAACUGCUAGAUUAGAAUAUACUGGACUCAAUGAUGCUAAGAAUUCAGAUUAGAAUAUAUUUCACCGGAGAGAGCACCUUACUAUUAGAAGAUCACUGUCUUUAAGACCUGUUGUCCUGCAACAUCCUGCUCGCCGUCUGCACCACCUUCGCCCCUCAGCCGCCCUUCUUCGUCGUCCUCAUCGUCUUCUACGGUACCACCGUCGCCUGUGCGCUCAUGUACUACCUGCCCUGAUUGCUUGGCUAAAUUAAUUACUCCACCUUUUGUGCUUAGUUAAUUUCAUUUUUUAAAUUUUGCUGGAUAUGUGCAUGUCUUUGAUUUCUACGUCACAUUAGAAUGAUAGAUGCAUGGUGUUAAUUUUCUCAUACUUUGUAAAUAUCUGAUGCUCUCUCUAUCCCAUAAUAUAAGAUAUAAUUCAUUUAGAAAUCAGUUUUAAUCAACACAUUUAUAGAUCUGAGCGAUA